GCACACUUUGUUUGAUCAUUAAUUAAAAUUGCUUGGUGGGUGGGUAGGAAGUAUUGUACCCGUUUGCAUGCUACUCUACCCUACUGGAUAUGCUUUACUGGUCCUGUUGAGCUGCUGCUUGCAGCAGUGUUAAUUUCGUUGACAAAUAAUUUUUGUCAUAGUUUUUGUCAGUGACAUUUUUUCACUGACUUUCACAAGACCCUUUGUAAACUGUGUGCAGCGACAAUCACUGGUAAAAACAACGAACUUGAAGCGACAUUUGCAGACAAGUCAUCCUGAAAUUCAAGCAAAGAUACAAAAGACCUUCAAUGACGAGAAUGGGCCACUGAGUGCAAAUUAAGUUGGCCAGUCUAAUGGGUAGUACUGCAGAUGUAUUCAGCUUGGAUUCCCUGAAAAGCAAGACAUUUACACCUCCUAUCUGUGGUGCUAGACUAGCUGUUGACUGCACUGCUUCACAAUUGGGAUUUAGCUGCAGGGAGGCGGGAGGCAAAACAAACAUGGAGAGUCUGUCUGCCCGCUCACGCCUGGACAAUCAUUACACGUGGAUGUCUGAGCAAGCACAUGAAUGUAUAUGUAUGCAACUGAAGAGCUCUUUCUACAUGUAGAGUUGGACAAAUUAAGCAGAGGGAAGAAAAUACAAGAGUGGAGAGGAGGAAAGGAGAAAGGAAGGAGAAGAGGACAGUUGGGAGGCAGCAGGAGAGGAAUGACUGGAGAUGAGAAGCACCAUGGGGAAUUCCACCACUUUCAAGAAACUCAGCCAUUUAGCCUCUGCAAUGACUUGUCACAACUGAAGUAGCAACAACCACCAAAUAAAAGCA